UACGAAGUGUUCAAGCGUUAAUCGGAAUUACUGGGCGUAAAGCGCGCGUAGGUGGUUUGUUAAGUUGGAUGUGAAAGCCCCGGGCUCAACCUGGGAACUGCAUCCAAAACUGGCAAGCUAGAGUAUGGCAGAGGGUGGUGGAAUUUCCUGUGUAGCGGUGAAAGGCGUAGAUAUAGGAAGGAACACCAGUGGCGAAGGCGACCACCUGGGCUAAUACUGACACGGAGGUGCGAAAUCGUUGUGAGCCAACAGGAGUAGAUACCCCCGUAGUCC
rnacentral:rRNA from 1 species